rnacentral:tRNA from 1 species
UGGCUCAGAGGUUAAGAGCACUGGCUGCUAUUCCAGAGGACCUGGGUUCAAUUCCCAG